rnacentral:rRNA from 1 species
CAUUUGCCAAGUAUGUUCCCGUUAAUCAAGAACGAAAGUUAGAGGUUCGAAGGCGAUCAGAUACCGCCCUAGUUCUAACCAUAAACGAUGCCAGCCAGCGAUCCGCCGAAGUUCCUCCGAUGACUCGGCGGGCAGCUUCCGGGAAACCAAAGCUUUUGGGUUCCGGGGGAAGUAUGGUUGCAAAGCUGAAACUUAAAGGAAUUGACGGAAGGGCACCACCAGGAGUGGAGCCUGCGGCUUAAUUUGACUCAACACGGGAAACCUCACCAGGCCCGGACACCGGAAGGAUUGACAGAUUGAGAGCUCUUUCUUGAUUCGGUGGGUGGUGGUGCAUGGCCGUUCUUAGUUGGUGGAGCGAUUUGUCUGGUUAAUUCCGGUAACGAACGAGACUCUAGCCUGCUAAAUAGACGAUUUCCGGUAUCCACAAUAGUGCUACCGGCGAAAUCAAUAUCUUCUUAGAGGGACAGGCGGCUUUCAGCCGCACGAAACUGAGCAAUAACAGGUCUGUGAUGCCCUUAGAUGUCCUGGGCCGCACGCGCGCUACACUGAAGGAAUCAGCGUGUAUACCCUGGCCGAAAGGCUCGGGCAACCCGUUGAACCUCCUUCGUGCUAGGGAUUGGGGCUUGCAAUUGUUCCCCAUGAACGAGGAAUUCCCAGUAAGCGCGAGUCAUAAGCUCGCGUUGAUUACGUCCCUGCCCUUUGUACACACCGCCCGUCGCUACUACCGAUUGAAUGAUUUAGUGAGGUCUUCGGACUGGUGCGCGGCGGCCGCCUGCGCGGCCACCGAUGCCACCGGGAAGAUGACCGAACUUGAUCAUUUAGAGGAAGUA